rnacentral:rRNA from 1 species
GUGGGGAAUCUUGCGCAAUGGGCGAAAGCCUGACGCAGCCAUGCCGCGUGAAUGAUGAAGGUCUUAGGAUUGUAAAAUUCUUUCACCGGGGACGAUAAUGACGGUACCCGGAGAAGAAGCUCCGGCUAACUUCGUGCCAGCAGCCGCGGUAAUACGAAGGGGGCUAGCGUUGCUCGGAAUUACUGGGCGUAAAGGGCGCGUAGGCGGACAGCUUAGUCAGAGGUGAAAGCCCAGGGCUCAACCUUGGAAUUGCCUUUGAUACUGGCUGUCUUGAGUUUGGGAGAGGUGAGUGGAACUCCGAGUGUAGAGGAGAAAUUCGUAGAUAUUCGGAAGAACACCAGUGGCGAAGGCGACUCACUGGCCCAAUACUGACGCUGAGGCGCGAAAGCGUGGGGAGCAAACAGGAUUAGAAACCCGAGUAGUCC